rnacentral:rRNA from 1 species
UAAUAUUCCCGUACUUCUGACUAUUGCGAUGGGGGGACGGAGAAGGCUAGGUGGGCCAGGCGACGGUUGUCCUGGUUCAAGUGCGUAGGCUUGAGAGUUAGGUAAAUCCGGCUCUCUCUAAGGCUGAGACACGACGUCGAGCUACUACGGUAGUGAAGUCAUUGAUGCCAUGCUUCCAGGAAAAGCCUCUAAGCUUCAGAUAGUCAGGAAUCGUACCCCAA